UACGUAGGGUGCGAGCGUUAAUCGGAAUUACUGGGCGUAAAGCGUGCGCAGGCGGUCUCGCAAGUCCGAUGUGAAAUCCCCGGGCUCAACCUGGGAACUGCGUUGGAAACUACGAGGCUGGAGUACGGCAGAGGGGGGUGGAAUUCCACGUGUAGCAGUGAAAUGCGUAGAUAUGUGGAGGAACACCGAUGGCGAAGGCAGCUUGCUGGGACGUUACUGACGCUAAGGCGCGAAAGCGUGGGGAGCGAACAGG
rnacentral:rRNA from 1 species